rnacentral:misc_RNA from 1 species
AAUAAGUGUUUUAUGGCACUUUUUUAAAUCCAUAUCCACCUUGUGUGCAAUGUCAGGGUUGGUUUCUCUCUUUUGAGAGAUCAACCCAAACAUCAACUCUAUCUUAACUCCUUGUCCGAAAAAUAUUAUGAAUAAAACAAUACAACUUUCAACAACGGAUCUCUUGGCUCU